UGGGGAAUAUUGGACAAUGGGCGCAAGCCUGAUCCAGCCAUGCCGCGUGAGUGAUGAAGGCCCUAGGGUUGUAAAGCUCUUUUGUGCGGGAAGAUAAUGACUGUACCGCAAGAAUAAGCCCCGGCUAACUUCGUGCCAGCAGCCGCGGUAAUACGAAGGGGGCUAGCGUUGCUCGGAAUCACUGGGCGUAAAGGGUGCGUAGGCGGGUCUUUAAGUCAGGGGUGAAAACCUGGAGCUCAACUCCAGAACUGCCUUUGAUACUGAAGGUCUUGAGUUCGGGAGAGGUGAGUGGAACUGCGAGUGUAGAGGUGAAAUUCGUAGAUAUUCGCAAGAACACCAGUGGCGAAGGCGGCUCACUGGCCCGAUACUGACGCUGAGGCACGAAAGCGUGGGGAGCAAACA
rnacentral:rRNA from 1 species